AGAAAUACUUACAUGUUUCGUAGGCAGUGAGUGAGUGAGUGAUAAGUAACUUGCUUUGUCGAUGUGGAAACGCCAAAGUUAUUUGGCGUAGAAAGAGUUACCAAAUAUGUUUGACAUCAGUCGUCAACAAAACGAAUACACUCCUUUCACGUUUUAAGUUAUACAUAUUUAUGACUAUCCUCUGCGUAACUACAAAUGUUCAAGCGACAGACGAAUGGAUGUACGGACGCGCAGGCAUAGAUCAAGCAAAUAUAGAUCAAAGUUUUCCGCUAAUAUCGGAUACAUAUGGUGCAGAUUUCCACGAAUGCUAGAUCUCUAGCAACCUGCACAUUUCGUAAUACUGAUUUGAGCAGACAGAUUCCAUCCUCGAUGGCGGAUAGAAUCAAAGAAAAAGAUAAGGCUGGAUAUUUUCAUAUUUGUCUCUGUAUUUGCCUGUCGAAUUUUGAAACAAAAACGAGAAGAGAUUGUUGUCCGGCAAUAUCGUCCAUAGAGAAGAUAUAUUUAUUUAGAAAAACAAAAACUGCUUAUACAAGAUGAACAUAGGGAGGGGUUCCCGUCACAUGUGAUCCCAACUAAUACGUAUUUUUAUUUCUUCCGGAACUUAAGGAGACACAUAGGCGUCAAAUAAGCUGUGUAUGAGGCGCAAUGUAAUGUCAGCAAUUAGCAGCGGCUUUUACUGAGUAGGCAUCUGGACUACAGCUUUGCCAGUUGGCCGAUCGGAAUUAACAUCUUAAGUGGCCACACGGUGAGCUCAUAUUUGUUUUUCCUCUGACAACUAUUGGUUUUCCGAUCUUUCAGAAGACGAUUUCCACGGACCAAGUUCAUUUUACACUUUGGACUAAUACCAUCAACCUAGUGUAAUGCAAAACAAAAGUUUUCCAAAGGUCGAUAUUCCGUAUUACCCCAUGGGGUAAGACAACUUUAUAAAAUAACCGAUGCCAUACAUAUCCCAAAGCAACUUCCAUACAGUUUAAAAGUUUUUACAAAGUAAAGAGUAAACAAAUCCGAAAGCCAUCCUCACACAAAGAGCUUAAUGGUCGUACACAACCACAUGAUCGGAUACUAACAAUGGCUUGUGUUGAAAAAUUGUUGCAAGAGCACGAUUCCAUUCAGCAAAUAGUAAAAUAAGUUCCCAACAUUAGCGACGCGUGCUAAUAUUUACUUUGAUGGAUCUUCUAUAAAACCUUACCACGUCUUUAAUUGGGGUAGCUCUUGCCAUAUUUACGAUAUACUCGAUCUUUAGCGCACAUAAAUCUGACAGAAUCCCAGCCUCUGAGAAAACUACAAACUUGUUCCGGUUUGGUAAUUUCCUAGGUUUCGCGCCAUAAAUUAGCUUCGCUAGACAAUGUCCCGCCUUUUCCGUUGC